CAGUAGCCGCGGGAAUACGAGGGGGGCAAGCGUUGUUCGGAAUUAUUGGGCGUAAAGGGUGCGUAGGCGGUUCAGCAAGUCUCGUGUGAAAUCUUCGGGCUCAACCCGAAGUCUGCACGGGAAACUACUGGGCUUGAGUAAUGGAGAGGUGAGUGGAAUUUCCGGUGUAGCGGUGAAAUGCGUAGAUAUUGGAAGGAACACCUGUGGCGAAAGCGGCUCACUGGACAUUUACUGACGCUGAUGCACGAAAGCUAGGGGAGCAAACAGGAUUAGAUACCCCCGUAGUCCCUGUCUCUUAUAC
rnacentral:rRNA from 1 species